rnacentral:rRNA from 1 species
GCUGCAUGGCUGUUGUCAGCUUGUGUUGUGAGAUGUUGGGUUAAGUCCCGCAACGAGCGCAACCCCUUUUUUUAGUUGCUACCAUUUAGUUGGGCAUUUUAAGGAGACUGCCGGUGAUAAGCCGGGGGGAAGGUGGGGAUGAUUUAAUUUCCUCAUGCCCUUUACGGGGGGGGUUACACAUGUGUUAAAAUGGCGGUGACAGGGGGAGGAUAAGGGGAAAGGGUUGGCAAUUCUAAAA